UUGACCUCAAAUCAAGUAGGACUACCCGCUGAACUUAAGCAUAUCAAUAAGCGGAGGA
rnacentral:rRNA from 1 species